CCUACGGGAGGCUGCAGUGGGGAAUAUUGCGCAAUGGGCGAAAGCCUGACGCAGCGACGCCGCGUGAGGGAUGAAGGUCUUCGGAUCGUAAACCUCUGUCAGCAGGGAAGAACGGUCACUGUGCUAAUCAGCAGUGAAUUGACGGUACCUGCAAAGGAAGCACCGGCUAACUCCGUGCCAGCAGCCGCGGUAAUACGGAGGGUGCGAGCGUUAAUCGGAAUUACUGGGCGUAAAGCGCUCGUAGGCGGUAUGUCAAGUCAAGGGUGAAAUCCCCGCGCUCAACGUGGGAACUGCCUUUGAAACUGGCAAACUGGAGUGUGUGAGAGGAGAGUGGAAGUCCAGGUGUAGGAGUGAAAUCCGUAGAAAUCGGGAGGAACAUCAGUGGCGAAGGCGACUAUCUGGAACAUAACUGACGCUGAGGAGCGAAAGCGUGGGUAGCAAACAGGAUUAGAUACCCGAGUAGUC
rnacentral:rRNA from 1 species